ensembl:lncRNA
AACAGAUCCAGAUGUUGCAAGAACGUCACUGCAGGGAAGCAGGAAAAGGAAGGGUGAGUGUUGUGGAAGAAAACGUUUGGGAUAAGAGUACUGGGUCAGUAAGCUGGGUCAAAUUUCUGAGCUGUGCAGUGGAGCUGGGGAGACAUGCUCAGUGUUUACCAGGGUACCUGCCUACUUUCACCUGGUUGGAGUUACCGUAGUGAGGAGUAAUACUUGCAUCAUCUGGAGUUUGUGGCCACGCACAGACAUCCCCUUCUGAAUCCAGCUGCACGAGUGGAAGGCAUUACUCUUUGUGUGAGGUAUGGUCAGCUGGGCUCACUCACAUCACCAGUGGAAACCGUGGGAGCUGAACCCAUCGAUUUUGUCUGAAACAGAUUAAGGAAUACUAAUACCAAUGGCUCUGCCAGCAAAACUACGGGGUGAGAACUCCAUCAGGCAGAAAGUGAAGAGCAUCAGGGAGGUACUGGGAAGAGGAAAUCUCUCCCCCUUCAGGGCUGGCCUUGGAGGAGGACGUCUGCCAAAAAAGGAAUGGCUCCAGAGAAGCAGAGUGGCUCAGUGGUGUCAGUGGCAGGAGCUGCCUCACUCUCCUCGUACAGACAGACUUGGAGCAGAACAGUCUUGUUCAUUCCCGGUCUGAGACAAUACCCAUUCAAAUAGAUGGAACUAAUCCCACUAACAAGGGCG